rnacentral:misc_RNA from 1 species
ACAAUCGCAUCAAGAGCUUAGUGACAGAAGAAUUGAAGCAGUACUUCAGGCCAGAGUUUUUGAACAGAUUGGAUGAGAUGAUUGUAUUCCGUCAGCUCACUAAGUUAGAGGUUAAGGAGAUAGCUGAUAUCAUGCUUAAGGAGGUCUUUGAGAGGUUGAAAGUUAAGGAGAUAGAACUUCAAGUGACAGAGAGGUUUAGAGACAGGGUGGUUGACGAGGGAUACAACCCUAGCUAUGGAGCACGACCUCUGAGAAGAGCUAUUAUGAGACUUUUAGAGGACAGCAUGGCUGAGAAAAUG